rnacentral:rRNA from 1 species
AUAAGGUUAAGUGAAUAAGGGCGCACGGUGGAUGCCUUGGCACUAGGAGCCGAUGAAGGACGGGACUAACACCGAUAUGCUUUGGGGAGCUGUACGUAAGCUAUGAUCCAGAGAUUUCCGAAUGGGGAAACCCAACAUCUUUUAUAGGAUGUUACGUUUGCGUGAAUACAUAGCGCAUUCGAGGUAGACGCAGAGAACUGAAACAUCUAAGUACCUGCAGGAAGAGAAAGAAAAUUCGAUUCCCUGAGUAGCGGCGAGCGAAACGGGAAAAGCCCAAACCAAUGAGCUUGCUCAUUGGGGUUGUAGGACUCCAAUAUGGUAGUUCUUUCAGAUAAUCGAAUGACUUGGAAAAGUCAGUCAAAGAGGGUAAAAACCCCGUAGAUGAAAUUUGGAAGGCACCUAGGAGGAUCCUGAGUACGGCGGAACACGAGGAAUUCCGUCGGAAUCCGGGAGGACCAUCUCCCAAGGCUAAAUACUCCCUAGUGACCGAUAGUGAACCAGUACCGUGAGGGAAAGGUGAAAAGCACCCCGGAAGGGGAGUGAAAUAGAACCUGAAACCGUGUGCCUACAACAAGUCAAAGCCCGUUAAUGGGUGAUGGCGUGCCUUUUGUAGAAUGAACCGGCGAGUUACGAUUGCAUGCGAGGUUAAGUCGAAGAGACGGAGCCGUAGCGAAAGCGAGUCUGAAUAGGGCGUUUGAGUAUGUAGUCGUAGACCCGAAACCAUGUGAUCUACCCAUGUCCAGGUUGAAGGUGCGGUAAAACGCACUGGAGGACCGAACCCACGUACGUUGAAAAGUGCGGGGAUGAGGUGUGGGUAGCGGAGAAAUUCCAAACGAACUUGGAGAUAGCUGGUUCUCUCCGAAAUAGCUUUAGGGCUAGCCUCGGAUUUGAGAAUGAUGGAGGUAGAGCACUGUUUGGACUAGGGGCCCAUCUCGGGUUACCGAAUUCAGAUAAACUCCGAAUGCCAUUCAUUCAUAUCCGGGAGUCAGACUGUGAGUGAUAAGAUCCAUAGUCGAAAGGGAAACAGCCCAGACCACCAGCUAAGGUCCCAAAAUAUAUGUUAAGUGGAAAAGGAUGUGGGGUUGCACAGACAACUAGGAUGUUGGCUCAGAAGCAGCCACCAUUUAAAGAGUGCGUAAUAGCUCACUAGUCGAGUGACCCUGCGCCGAAAAUGUACCGGGGCUAAACAUAUUACCGAAGCUGUGGAGUACACCAUUAGGUGUAUUGGUAGGAGAGCGUUCUAAGGGCGUUGAAGGCAGAUCGUGAGGACUGCUGGAGCGCUUAGAAGUGAGAAUGCCGGUAUGAGUAGCGAAAGACAGGUGAGAAUCCUGUCCACCGAAUGACUAAGGUUUCCUGGGGAAGGCUCGUCCGCCCAGGGUUAGUCGGGACCUAAGCCGAGGCCGACAGGCGUAGGCGAUGGACAACAGGUUGAUAUUCCUGUACUCGUUGUUUUUGUUUGAGCAAUGGAGGGACGCAGGAGGCUAAGGAAUGCAGACGAUUGGAAAUGUCUGUCCAAGCAGUAAGUCUUGAUAGGAGUCAAAUGCUUCUGUCUACACGGAUAAGCUGUGAUGGGGAGGGAAAUAAUAGUACCGAAGUUCCUGAUGUCACACUGCCAAGAAAAGCUUCUAGUGAGAAAACAAUGACCCGUACCGCAAACCGACACAGGUAGUCGAGGAGAGAAUCCUAAGGUGAGCGAGAGAACUCUCGUUAAGGAACUCGGCAAAAUGACCCCGUAACUUCGGGAGAAGGGGUGCUGAUCUUUGAUCAGCCGCAGUGAAUAGGCCCAAGCGACUGUUUAUCAAAAACACAGGUCUCUGCAAAAUCGUAAGAUGAAGUAUAGGGGCUGACGCCUGCCCGGUGCUGGAAGGUUAAGAGGAGUGCUUAGCGUAAGCGAAGGUACGAAUUGAAGCCCCAGUAAACGGCGGCCGUAACUAUAACGGUCCUAAGGUAGCGAAAUUCCUUGUCGGGUAAGUUCCGACCCGCACGAAAGGCGUAACGAUUUGGGCACUGUCUCAACGAGAGACUCGGUGAAAUUUUAGUACCUGUGAAGAUGCAGGUUACCCGCGACAGGACGGAAAGACCCCAUGGAGCUUUACUGUAGUUUGAUAUUGAGUGUCUGUACCGCAUGUACAGGAUAGGUAGGAGCCGUAGAAAUCGGAACGCUAGUUUCGAUGGAGGCGCUGGUGGGAUACUACCCCUGCGUUAUGGCCACUCUAACCCGCACCACUGAUCGUGGUGGGAGACAGUGUCAGAUGGGCAGUUUGACUGGGGCGGUCGCCUCCUAAAAGGUAACGGAGGCGCCCAAAGGUUCCCUCAGAAUGGUUGGAAAUCAUUCGAAGAGUGUAAAGGCAGAAGGGAGCUUGACUGCGAGACCAACAAGUCGAGCAGGGACGAAAGUCGGGCUUAGUGAUCCGGUGGUUCCGCAUGGAAGGGCCAUCGCUCAACGGAUAAAAGCUACCCUGGGGAUAACAGGCUUAUCUCCCCCAAGAGUCCACAUCGACGGGGAGGUUUGGCACCUCGAUGUCGGCUCGUCGCAUCCUGGGGCUGUAGUCGGUCCCAAGGGUUGGGCUGUUCGCCCAUUAAAGCGGCACGCGAGCUGGGUUCAGAACGUCGUGAGACAGUUCGGUCCCUAUCCGUCGCGGGCGUUGGAAAUUUGAGAGGAGCUGUCCUUAGUACGAGAGGACCGGGAUGGACUUACCGCUGGUGUACCAGUUGUUCUGCCAAGGGCAUUGCUGGGUAGCUAUGUAGGGAAGGGAUAAACGCUGAAAGCAUCUAAGUGUGAAGCCCACCUCAAGAUGAGAUUUCCCAUUUCUUUAAGAAAGUAAGAUCCCUGAGAGAUGAUCAGGUAGAUAGGUCAGGAGUGGAAGGCCAGUGAUGGUUGGAGCGGACUGAUACUAAUCGAUCGAGGACUUAACCAAA